rnacentral:lncRNA from 1 species
AGCAGGGGAGCUGGAACUAGAUGAUCUUAAAGGCCCCUUCCAAUCCAAUCCAUUCUAUGAUUCUAUGAUCCUGUAGCUGCUCUGAGAAGAUAGAGCAAGAUUUCACUCAUUCUCUGGGCAAGAACCAAAUGGAGGUGUCACACUGGUAGAUGAAGAAGGUAAUAGAGAUGUAAUGUUAUUAUCCUUCAGUAUAAAAAACACUGAAAAUGAAUGUGACUACUUUACAGCAGCCUGACAGUCCUGUUGGAAAAGGAAAUGCCGGAAGAGCGCAGUAUAUCAGGAAAGACUCGCAGUAAUAUGGAGCCACUACUAGGGUAGCGAAAUCCAGAUCAACCAAGGCAUGAGAGGAACUCACCUAUCAACAAGUAGUUCACUGAUGGUCAUCCAACACUUUCACAAAAUGAGAACAAUGAGCCAUAUCUUUUUCAUCUGAAAACAUCCAGAAGAUAAGAUUAGAUGUGGAAUACAAAAUUUUGUGAUGAAAAUGUGUUCAUUUUCAUAAAAAUUUGGAGUAGAAAAUUCAUUAUGGGGAUCUUACAUAUUUAAAGAAUAAGUAUCUAUCUGAUUAUUAAAUCCCAUGUUCAUAUAUUUUAAAGUUAUGACUAGCUGUGCAUAUAUACUUGUAUUGUUUCAGUCACUUAUGUUGUGAGAGGUUGUACUCUCCAUUUUACAGUCACUGAAAUUUCAGAUAAUUCAUUUUACACUGAACUCUGCCCACACUGUUUUAUUGAAAUGACAUGCUGAAAAUUAUUCCAAUAUGUAAUUUGGGGAGGAAAAUGGAUUUCUUGAAUGAAAAGAAUUACAGCAGCAAAGAACAGCAUGCCAUU